rnacentral:rRNA from 1 species
GACGGGGGAUGCAAGUGUUAUCCGGAAUCACUGGGCGUAAAGCGUUUGCAGGUGGUUUCCUAAGUCCACUGUUAAACCUUGAGGCUCAACCUCAAAUCUGCAUUGGAAACUAGGAGACUUGAGUAUAGUAGGGGUAGAGGGAAUUUCCAGUGGAGCGGUGAAAUGCGUAGAUAUUGGAAAGAACACCGAUGGCGAAGGCACUCUACUGGGCUAUUACUGACACUCAGAGACGAAAGCUAGGGGAGCAAAUGGG